AUGGUGGACCUGCUCAUUGAUAAAGAUACAGGGAAAUGGAAGAAAGAUAUCAUCAACAAUCAUUUUAACAAAAGUGAUAUUGAUGACACCCUUCAACUUCCUUUAUACAAUCUAGAGGAGAAGGAUUACCUAUGUUGGAAUGCUACAAAGGAAGGAAACUAUAGUGUUAGGCCAGGAUAUCACAACAUUAUGGAAUGGAGGACAAAUCAAAAUAUAGCUAGUAUGAGCAAUAAUAGUGAGAAAGAGAUCUAG